UACAGAGGUCUCAAGCGUUGUUCGGAUUCAUUGGGCGUAAAGGGUGCGUAGGUGGCGAGGUUAGUCAGGUGUGAAAUCUCGGGGCUCAACCCCGAAACUGCACUUGAUACUGCCUUGCUAGAGUACUGGAGAGGAGAUUGGAAUUUACGGUGUAGCAGUGAAAUGCGUAGAUAUCGAUAAGGAAGACCAGUGGCGAAGGCGAAUCUCUGGACAGUUACUGACACUGAGGCACGAAGGCCAGGGAGCAAACGGG
rnacentral:rRNA from 1 species